rnacentral:ncRNA from 1 species
UGGAAUGGCUGCGGGUAUCCUCGUUUGUGAAUGCAACGCCCCUCACUUCCUGGUGGUCGUGGACAGACCGCCAGGUCGACCGAAGGCAUUGCAAACGCAGCGAGGGUUGAGAUCAUACCGCUUGAACCUGAACAGCGCUCAUACCUGCGUAGGGAAGCCCCCAGUCUCGCUU